rnacentral:rRNA from 1 species
GACGAACGCUGGCGGCGUGCUUAACACAUGCAAGUCGAACGGUGAAGGGACCGGCUUUUGCUGGUUCUGUAUGCGUGGCGCACGGGUGAGUAACACGUGAGUAACCUCCCCCCUUCUUCUGGAUAACCGCAUGAAAGUGUGGCUAAUACGGGAUAUUCUGCGCCUGCUGCAUGGAGGGUGUGGGGAAGAUAUUGUUUCGGUGGGUGAUGGGCUCGCGGCCUCUGAGCGUGGUGGGGGGGGUAUGGCCUUCCAAGGCGGUCGCGGGUAGCCGGCCUGAGAGGGUGGACGGACACAGUGGGAGUGAGACACGGCCGAGACUCCUACGGGAGGCAGCAGGGGGGAAUACUGCACAGUGGGCGAAAGCCUGAUGCAGCGACGCCGCGUGAGAGAUGGAGGCCUUCGGGUUGUAAACCUCUUUCGCCAGUGAAGCAGGCCUGUCCGUUUUGAGGGUGGGUUGACGGUAGCUGGAUAAGAAGCGCCGGCUAACUACGUG